GGCUGGAAGCUGUAUUCUUUUUACAGGUGGCAGUGGAGAAAGCUUUGUGCAAUUUGCCCCAAGAAUCCGUUUCUAUGAUUGACUGUAUUAGUGUUGGGUGAAACUUAUUUCACCUUCUCAGCAUUUUCAUAUGGUUCAUGAAAAUGAAUGAUAUUACACUGGGGCAAUGAAGAAAAUAGUUUUGAGGGAGGAUCAGCAAGAGUGGAUGAGAUCUCCUGUUUGUUAAUAGUCAGCUGGACUUGGGUCUUGGGUUCUACUGCUCUGUAUUGGAAGCUCUACUAGAGCUUGCUGUUCAUAGGAAACUCUUUUGAAGAGACAUUUUCCUGCUACUGCAGAGUGGCUGGUGAUCUGGGAAAGAUCAACUUAACCUCCUGGAAGAUGUGGAAAAGAGAAUGUUGCCAAUAAUUAUAGAAGAAGCAGAAAUAGAGUUGGUAUCAGCUGUGCCGGAGAGACUGGA